rnacentral:misc_RNA from 1 species
GGAAAGGAUUUAGAGAGGAAAAGAAUCACUAACCUACAACAUUCAUAAAAGACAUACAUAUUAAAUAUAUACUUUCUUUCAUUGUUUCGGGCUGCUCGGAAUCCGAAUUCCUCAAAGUUUUUUCCGAAGUUGGUGGUGAAGUCCUCUGUAGCUCGUUGUUCUCGGUGUGCUACCCUGGAAAAGAGCGCACUUGAAGACCCAGAAGAAAUACUUGGAAGAAGCCAAA